UUCCAGAGACCAAAGGGGUUUUUUACAAGAGGGGAUAAAAAAAGAGAGCAACUCGUUGCUCUCGAUUUUUUGAACUUCCAUCCUGGACCUCAG
rnacentral:rRNA from 1 species